rnacentral:rRNA from 1 species
UCGCACGAGAACGUUCUGGCUUUGCCAGAACAAGUACAGUGGCGGACGGGUGCGUAUCGCGUAGAUAACCUGCCCUUGGGUGCGGGACAAUCACGGGAAACCGUGGCUAAUACCGCACGUCGUCUGGGCCCCGCAUGGGGACCAGAUGAAAGCUUGGGGUUACCCAGGCGCCUUGGGAUGGGUCUGCGUUGGAUUAGCUUGUUGGUGAGGCAACGGCUCACCAAGGCAACGAUCCAUAGCUGGUCUGAGAGGACGAUCAGCCACACUGGGACUGAGACACGGCCCAGACUCCUACGGGAGGCAGCAGUGGGGAAUCUUGCACAAUGGGGUCACCCCUGAUGCAGCCAUGCCGCGUGGAGGAAGACACCCCUAUGGGGCGUAAACUCCUUUUCUGAAUGAAGAAACCCCUGUAGGUUCAGGGCGCGACGGUAGUUCAGGAAUAAGCACCGGCUAACUCCGUGCCAGCAGCCGCGGUAAUACGGAGGGUGCAAGCGUUGUCCGGAAUCACUGGGUGUAAAGGGUGUGCAGGCGGGGCAACAAGUCGGAUGUGAAACCCCAUGGCUCAACCAUGGAGGUGCAUUCGAAACUGUUGCUCUUGAGUCCCGGAGAGGCUGUCGGAAUUCGUGGUGUAGCGGUGAAAUGCGUAGAUAUCACGAGGAACACCAGAGGCGAAAGCGGGCAGCUGGACGGGUACUGACGCUCAGGCACGAAAGCGUGGGGAGCAAACAGGAUUAGAUACCC